UCUAGCUGGAGGGUUAUUCCAAGCACUCACCCAAGCAUCCCCCGUCGGAGAGCAAAUGGGUCACCUUUGGUACGACUCAGGAAUCGCGGCUCCGAUCAGCGCCGCACUACCAGGGCUACCACUCUGCCAGGGAGGUCAGGACUUUUAACUCACCUGCAUUUGGUCUUACGCCAAUGGACCCCCGCACACCGCACUUCCUCCGGUAGUGCGCACUUUAUACUUGCCGGUCUUCCGGCCUGAGUCAUACUACUAGGGUUCGCGGUCGGAACGAGUUAUCCGACCAACUAUGUGUUAGUCAUGCGUUCAACAUGAUAAGAGGACGUACAACGAUCGGUCCUUAGCUGCCAUAGACGUUACUACAACCUUGCAAAACUCUGCCCGGCUUAAGUCAUUUUAACCAGGUUCUUUCCACGAUAGCAUAUAUAGUCAAUCGUGAUCUGACACAACCCUAUUUCGCGCAGGUGACAGGAUAUCACCCGACUUCUACCGAUUAAAGCAUGGCUAAGUUGCUACUCGAUCCUAACGCUACAACCAAGUAGUGGUAAGAUAUCUGGACAAGGCAAAGGGUAUAAUGCAGCAAGGGUUUCAUCACAACUCCUAUGCGUAAUGCAACAAUAGAUAUAACUUAACCAAGGAUACUUUCAAAAUUAAAGUGAGAGACUUAAGAUGCUCCGGGGCUUGCCUUUCACGAACGAGGCUGGCUCGUGAUUAGGUCUCUGAAGGUGCAAAAAAUUCAAUAAUAGGUGUGGAAUUUGAGUUAUCCACAA
rnacentral:lncRNA from 1 species